AUACGUAGGUGGCGAGCGUUGUCCGGAAUUACUGGGCGUAAAGGGUGCGUAGGCGGAUAAUCAAGUCAGAUGUGAAAGUCCAUGGCUUAACUGUGGGAGUGCAUUUGAGACUGAAGAUCUAGAGUGCAGGAGAGGGAAGCGGAAUUCCUAGUGUAGCGGUGAAAUGCGUAGAUAUUAGGAAGAACACCAGUGGCGAAGGCGGCUUUCUGGACUGUAACUGACGCUGAAGCACGAAAGCGUGGGGAGCAAACAGGAUUAGAUACCCUGGUAGUCCACGCCGUAAACGAUGAGUAUUAGGUGUAGGGGACGACAGUCUUCUGUGCCGGAGCAAACGCAAUAAAUACUCCGCCUGGGGAGUACGGUCACAAGACUAAA
rnacentral:rRNA from 1 species